rnacentral:rRNA from 1 species
UACGGAGGGUGCAAGCGUUAAUCGGAAUUACUGGGCGUAAAGCGUGCGCAGGCGGUUUGUUAAGUCUGCUGUGAAAUCCCCGAGCUCAACUUGGGAAUUGCAGUGGAUACUGGCAGGCUGGAGUACGGUAGAGGAAGGUGGAAUUCCCGGUGUAGCAGUGAAAUGCGCAGAUAUCGGGAGGAACACCGGUGGCGAAGGCGGUUCUCUGGGCCUGUACUGACGCUGAGGAGCGAAAGCGUGGGGAGCGAACAGG